UAGGGAAUAUUGGACAAUGGGGGCAACCCUGAUCCAGCCAUGCCGCGUGAGUGAAGAAGGCCCUCGGGUUGUAAAGCUCUUUUGUCCGGAAAGAAAAGCAUUCGGUGAAUACCCGGAUGUUCUGACGGUACCGGAAGAAUAAGCACCGGCUAACUUCGUGCCAGCAGCCGCGGUAAUACGAAGGGUGCAAGCGUUACUCGGAAUUACUGGGCGUAAAGCGUGCGUAGGUGGUUGUUUAAGUCUGAUGUGAAAGCCCUGGGCUCAACCUGGGAAUGGCAUUGGAAACUGGGCAGCUAGAGUGCGGUAGAGGGUAGUGGAAUUCCCGGUGUAGCAGUGAAAUGCGUAGAGAUCGGGAGGAACAUCUGUGGCGAAGGCGACUGCCUGGACCAGCACUGACACUGAGGCACGAAAGCGUGGGGAGCAAACA
rnacentral:rRNA from 1 species